ensembl:lncRNA
CUCUUCUGAAUCUAUUUAUUUUGAGAUUCAGCUGAAACCAGGAUGAGUUGACAGCAUGACAGAAAGAAGCACACAAGAGCUUAUAAGUAGAGUCCUGAAAAGAUGAUUUAAUUUCCAUUCUUUGGAAUGUUACGGCUAUUCAGAGAUAUUACAAAGUAAUCUCUGAUAAAUUGCCUAUGAUUGAAGCAAAUAGGAUUUCACUGAAAAAAGCCCUCUGGUCCCUACUGGGAUGAAAGUCUCUACAAAAGUUCUAAUAAAUGAUGAAGCACUUUUUCUUUUGUUAUCAUGUGUUCCUGAUUUCCUUAUAAAACAGGAACAGGUGGCAACAAAAUCUUCCAUCUCCAAGUAUUUCCCAUGACAUUAAAUCUUACUUAUGGAAUAAACAAGGAUUUCCAUUCUUCUUUAUCCUGGCUCAUCUUUUAAUGUCUUUUUAUGUCACCGAGUCCCAGUAAGACUUAAUUCCCCAAGUCUCGUUGAGCAAAAGGGAUUCUUCUCAAGCACUUUUUCAUGGUCUUCCAAUUUGUCAGUGGUGUACCUGCCACAGCAGAUGUCCUCGCCUCUUCUCAGUAUAAGUUUUGGUUACAUUCAUCUUCUUUUCUAAUAACUGGAGAUAAAAGGGUGUUGAACUCUGCUGCAAGCUUCAGCACUUGUUGUAAAUUGGUUCAAUCUGAAACACAGUCCUUCCCAAUGGCAUUUAUUUUCAGAAGCGUUUACCCAUCUGUCCUCAAGACCAAACUACAAAUCUUGAAAUUGAAUCUUACUGAGGAUGAACCCUACAAAAGUUUUAAUUCCAUCAUGACAUUAGACACAAACAACAAGUAAGAAAGAGGGAACAAAUAAAUGUUUGAAUUAGUAGAAUAGCUAUAAAUUCAUGUCUGCAGUACUUCAUCUUCUAUUGUUAAACCACAUAUAAAUCUCUUAGUAUGUGUAGUAUAAAAUAUUAAUCUUACGUUAAUAUGUCGUCUGUAUAAGAAACAAAAAAUCCAAACAAAACUGACAAGCAAAUCUUGUUAUUUAUGGCUUAUUCAUUUAUAGUGUCCCUCCUAAGAAUGAUGAUGGAGCACACGUAGAAGCCAGAAAGCCAUGAGAUGUCAGUUACUGGCCGUGCCUUGUAAGAACAACAGGACAAGAGAGAAACCUGAAAAUAAAACCAUCUGCCAAAAACCACGUAGGGAGGAAACAUCCAAAAUGAAGCAUGUCUUUACAUGUUCUCUACUAUGCUAACAUAAUGACAAUAAAGCAUUACAGUGUUCGAAGCAGUGAGCAGGGAUUUCUAACGACAUCAAUCCCUCCACAAGAGUAGUCCCUCUGGCGUCAUAAAGAGCAUGGCUCACAGGAAUGAGAUCAGAACACAGGAAUAAAAGGACAAAGAAAACAAAAGGACACAACUAUGAUCAAAAUAUUUAGUAAAUGUAAAUUGCUUUCGUGUUGUGGGCUGUUGCUUCAAGCAGAUCUGGAUAAUCACCCAGAAAAUAAUUUUGCUUGCAUAAUGACAAAGUUUAUUUUACUUUUAAAAAAGUCAUCAGUGUUCAUGAGAGGAGGGAGGAGUGCUGGUUUGAAUCAGGCAUGUUGCAAGCAGAUGUUAUGCAAGCUUCCCCAAACAGUCCUGCCAAUGCAUUGCAAUCCUGAGUUAUGACAUUCACUGCAUCUGCAGUUUGGGUCCUUUUUUGGGCCACAGCUUCAUCUGUGGGUUUUCCCAAAAUGGGGAUGUUAUUCUUGUGAUGCACAUGAAAACUUUAAGGAGAUCAAAAUGCUAUUUUUCAUUUUCAGACCAGAAAGGAUUUGGUCACCAUAUCUGAAUUACAUGGCUGAUCAGUAGCAAGGACGGAAAUGGGUAAGCACAUUUAUCUAUCAUCACACGGUUGCAGUAGUAGCUCUUUUAGGAAACAUGCCUCUGGGUUCUUUCCCACAACGCAUUUGGUAAAGUACAGCCUCCUGCCAUUUCCUUCCAUUCCAACAAGUCGUUUCCCAAUACCAUUUUCCAAAUCUGUCAUGCAUUUUUCAUUAAAAUACUCCUUUACCCUCUAAGUGUUUGAAAUGGCUACAUAUUUCCAUAACCUCAAAACAAAUAAAUGAAUAAAUGAAGAAUAAAUAAUUGCACUGAGCAGAACUGUGCUUUAGAAAGACUGCAGGUUCUUAAACAGGAGACGAAGUGCUGUUGCUAUUACAGAUUAAAAGCUGUAAGCAGAGAAUGUCAGAUAAUCAAAAGAUGAUCAUUUCUACUUCUGAAGACACCAUACUUAGGAGUACCUCAGAAAAAUGAAAACUUGUCUCUGUAUGCAGAGAUAUUUAUUUUCUUGGAAAUCUAAAUGGCCCAUUUUCUUAUUAUACAUCCUAAUGGAACUAUCGUACGUUUUACAUUUUUAAGUAUAUACUCCACUGUGUGCUUUCAGACUUUAAUCUUGAAAGGAAGUAUGUGGGAGUACGGAUGUAAACCAGAAUAACAGUUUUUACAUUUAUUGUUCUCUGUUUAAACAUCAUUGCAAUUUCCACCUUUAAGCACUAAGAAUACUGAUAAAGCCUGUAUGAGCCUAGCAGCCCCAGCCAUGCAAUCAGAAACUGUAUUUCUUUUUGUCAAAGCAGCAGUGCCAAACAAGUCAGACUCACAAACAGAGGCUGUGACUUCAUCACCUACAGCUCUGUGCUGCUAUUACUGACUGCAUCACCUACAGCUCUGUGUGUCUACUACUGAAUUUGCCUUAUAGAGUUCUGGGUUUGGGGGCUUACGUACAUGCGUUGUGUCUCAGUUCAAUGAAGGCCAGCAGCUGGUGGCACAAGGAGGAUUUCUUGCUGCACGUCAGUGUUUGUGAACAGUUUGAAAAGCGCUCAGGCAUCCGACGUAGUGUAAUAGAUACAAAUCUUUGGCCCUCUGUAACGUGACUAUUGGAUCUGUGGUAAGAGAGAGAGACAAGAGAGUAAUCGGCUUUCCAAGUGCUGAGCAAUGGACAUCGGACGCGAGCUGAGGCAGCUGGGCAGAGCCGUGAGCGCGCUGUGGGAGAGCCGCACGGCGGGCAGUGCCAGGGCGCAUCGCUGACAGCCCGCCCGUCAGGAUUCCUUCACAGCCAAACUCAGAAGGCUGUGAAAUACGUUCUCCACGCAAAGGGGUGCAUUCCCUAACCCCCGUCCGUGUAAGCCGUGUCGCUGACCGACACGAAGUCCCGUGGCUGAGCAGAGCUCCGGGGGCACUCUCUGGGGCUGUCGCCGCUGCCCCC